CCUAUGAAUUUUUUCAAAGACCUUUCUUGUUUGGAUCUUUGAAAAAAUUCAAGAAAGGUUUUUGAUUAAUUGGGGUGAUUUUUAAAUUUUAAAAAACUUUAGAAGUGUAUUACUAGAUCCAAUAUUAUUGAUGAUUUAAAAAAAAUACUCUAGGGAUAACAGCGUUAUUACUUUGGAUAGUUCAUAUAGAUAAAGUAGAUUGCGACCUCGAUGUUGGAUUAGGAUACCUUUAUUAAUGAAGAAGUUAUAAAAGGAGGUUUGCUCAACCUUCAAAUUCCUACAUGAUCUGAGUUCAGACCGGA
rnacentral:rRNA from 1 species